GCUGAACGCCUGAACGCCGGCAUCUUUAAAGUUUGCCAAAAAUAUUCAUUGGGCUUCUUCAUCAAAUCAAGCAUUUAAAAUGAUAUUUCUACGACGGUCGGGGUCUUAUAGCCAAAACGCAUACAACGUUUUCAACACUGUUUUUUGCCGCUACAACAACGAAAAACCUGGAUAUGCUGAACAUAUAUGUGAAAGAUUCGAAGAAAGUCAACUUUGUAUUAUCUAUCAAAUGUACUGCGAAAUAAAAUGGCUCUGUCGGAAGGCGUCGAAGACUUUGAGUUUUAGAUUUUGUGGCUCGACUCUUGGUAACAAUUUUCUUCAAAUCACACAGAACUUUGAUUAAUAAUUCAUAGUCUCGGUAAAAAGUUCCUUUUAACUGUGGAAAAAAUUAAAACAAAGAAAACAAUCGUUUAGAUUUAUAUUGAAAUUUAUGUGUUAUGAACUUUUAAUCAUUUAAAACCAAAGGAAAAAAACAAAACCUGAAUAAUAUAGCAUACUUUUAAGCUCUUCCAAGCCCCACAGAAAUUACUAGCCACACAUCGUGCUCUUUUUUGAAUAUAUAAGACAAAAUAGGUAAAAAAUCACAGCUUCAACACAAAUUUGUUCCCUUUCUUUAUUAAUUUACACAAAAUUAUAAAAUCGAUUAAUGUUUUGAUUACUUUUUAGUAGCAUGAACGCAAGUAUCCGGCAUCUUUUAGUGUACAGUUAUGUACGUAUCUGCUUAUAAAAUAUGUAUUACUGUAACGGUAGCGGCUAUUAAGCAGCAAGCAGACUCGGUUGUGUGUUGAGCAUAUAAGAGUAUGCAAAAAAGAUUUAACGAUGUAUCUACCUUACUUACAAGACCUGACAUUCUCAAGGUGCUGCAUAAAUAGCUACAUAAAAUAAUAUUAAAAGGUA